GGAUGAUCUCAUUUGAAAAAGAUCUGGUAAAUAAAAAGAAUUCCAAAUUCCUAUGGUAUAAGAAUGAUUAUGAAAAUGGACAGAUUAGGAGUUGGCAGAGAGAGAAAAGCAAAUAUACUCGAGUGACCAUAAUCAGAGGCAGUUCUCUAAUUAGGCGUUUGAGGCGGGUGCCUAAGGCCUCGCUCUGGCUGGGGCUUUGUGGCCGCCUAAACCGCCUUAGGGCAGACUGUCGUGUCCUU